UCUGUUUUUUGAAGCUUCUUUUUAUUGAGCUAUUUAGAGCGGAAGAGGGAGUUGUGUAGCGAGAGAGGGAGAGAGAGAGAGAGAGAGGUACAGAAGAGAAUUGCUGUAUGUCAGUAGAUUGUAUAGAGACUUACCUUGGUGGAAUAGGCGAGCUCGCAAACCCACUGCAAUGGCCUCAACUACGCAAAAGACGACGCCUCCUUCUCCGUGUUGCGCCUCUCAAAGUGACUCUGCUACCAUUCGCCGCCAGGCUGCUCCAACGCCUUCGUCCGUAGUGCCGAAUGCGGUGCAAGAUUGGACCGAUCGCCGCCUCGAGGAUCAGCUCGGUGAGAAGGCUGCCAUCGCGGCUUUGAUUCGCCCUGUUGAUUCACUUCCCGAACCUCCCACAAACGCCGCCGCCAAAGCUGGCAUCCCAGUCA
rnacentral:misc_RNA from 1 species